GGGGAGAAGGAGGAGGAACAUCAGAAGAGGAAGAGGAGGAGGCCACCAUCGCUCCCUUCGGUGAAUUGCUGUGUAUCCGGGGGUUUCCCUAUUCCUGGCAGAUUAACAUCAUUUGUGGGAUAAUGGAGGAGAGAGCAGUGCUUGGAGGAGAACACCAAACGGAGAAGGAAGAUAUGGGGGAAGAGAAGGAGGAAGACCUAGAGGAAGUAUUGGUUCUUAUUCCUUCUCUGCUGGACAACUGGCCCCUGCAAAGGCCUCUGGGAUUAACAUCUUUUGUGGGAUAAUGGAGGAGAGGGAAGAAAGGCAGCAAAAAGUGAUGGAGGAGGCGCUGGAAUUAGAUCAACAUCUUUUGUGAUGUAUGGAGGAGAGAUGAAGAACUGAAGAAGGAACAUAUGAGACAGCUAGAGAGCGUGUGGCGGAAAGAGCCCAGCAAGCCAAAUCGAACACACCUACGCCUUUAUCUAAGGGCGCAUGGCGCGGCAAUAGAGGCCAUGCAAAAUGCUUUCUAUUCGGCCAAUAUUGGUCCUUAUUCCUUCUCUGCUGGACAACUGGCCCCUGCAAAGGCCUCUGGGGUGGGAAUGCCAGAACCAGGGUUCCAGAGUGGGGCUAUGGGGCCACCAUCGCUCCCUUCGGUGAAUGGCUGUGUAACCAGGAAUUUCUCUUUUCCUGACAGAUUAACAUCUUUUGUGAUAUA